GACGAACCGUGCAAACGUUAUUCGGAAUCACUGGGCUUAAAGCGCGUGUAGGCGGGACGGCACGUCGGUCGUUGAAAGCCCCCGGCUCAACCGGGGAAUGGGCGCCGGAUACGACCGUCCUGGAGGAACGUAGGGGGACCUGGAACUUCCGGUGGAGCGGUGAAAUGCGUUGAGAUCGGAAGGAACGCCCGUGGCGAAAGCGAGGUCCUGGACGUUUUCUGACGCUGAGACGCGAAAGCCAGGGAGCGAACGGG
rnacentral:rRNA from 1 species